CUGCAUGUCUAGUAUAAGCAACUAUACGGUGAAACUGCGAAUGGCUCAUUAAAUCAGUUAUCGUUUAUUUGAUAGUACCCUACUACAUGGAUACCUGUGGUAAUUCUAGAGCUAAUACAUGCUAAAAACCUCGACUUCGGAAGGGGUGUAUUUAUUAGAUAAAAAACCAAUGCCCUUCGGGGCUCCUUGGUGAAUCAUAAUAACUAAACGAAUCGCAUGGCCUUGCGCCGGCGAUGGUUCAUUCAAAUUUCUGCCCUAUCAACUUUCGAUGGUAGGAUAGUGGCCUACCAUGGUAGUAACGGGUAACGGGGAAUUAGGGUUCGACUCCGGAGAGGGAGCCUGAGAAACGGCUACCACAUCCAAGGAAGGCAGCAGGCGCGCAAAUUACCCAAUCCCGAUACGGGGAGGUAGUGACAAUAAAUACUGAUACAGGGCUCUUUUGGGUCUUGUAAUUGGAAUGAGUACAAUUUAAAUCCCUUAACGAGGAACAAUUGGAGGGCA
rnacentral:rRNA from 1 species